rnacentral:misc_RNA from 1 species
UGAUAUGUGCAUCUACUGCAGUGAAGGCACUUGUAGCAUUAUGGUGA